rnacentral:lncRNA from 1 species
UUUUGUGGGCAUUGAGGGUGGGGAGAACAAAGAAAACGGUGAGUUGCCCACUCAGUUUUGUUUGCUCUGGCUCCUUAAGGCAGGUCUGAUCUCUCCAGCAUCAGUUCUGUGACCUUCACAUCACUAACUGUGCUUUUCAGGGAAACACUCCUAUUGUUUGGAAAACCUUCCUUCCUGUUACUCUGCUGUUCUUUCAAAGCUCAGCGUGAGUUGUGCCUUUUCUUCUAGUUGUGCUGUCCGUGUGCUGUCUGCUGUAAGAGCGUUUUCCUGCCUCCACUCAAGAGUGUGUGUCUGUGUUUAAAAAUACUCUCUUACUGUUUUUGUUCUUUUCCUAGACCAGUGGUCUAGGGGCAUUUUAGAAAUUUGGGGAAUUGUUUUUUUGUGUGUGUUCUUGUUGAUUCUGAAUAUUUAUUUCAAUAUCUAUUUAAGGUACUUUUGUUUGUUCCUUAUGUUAGUUAUGACAUUAUACUAUUUUACUUUGGAACGUGAUUUAUAUAACCUGUGGAUUCACAUUAUGAUAGUGAAAGGGGUGUUCAGAAACACCAGUAGGGGAUUUGAAGUCCUACAAACUUGGACUCUACCACGUCAGCCACGAGCCUGAUGCAGGCGUGAGCGCCUUGCGGGCCUUGUGUCCAUCUCACCUCAGGAGCACAGGAUGGGUGGCGCCACCCAGGUGGGUGUGCUGCCCCUGUCCUCCAGAGCCCCUGGUGUCCCAGGCCUCUUAAUCGUCUAUGUGACUGUCAGUUGUAUUCAGGGGAGGCCGAAACAUUAAGAUUUUAUUUUAAGAAAGAGGAGAAA